rnacentral:rRNA from 1 species
UACGUAGGUGGCAAGCGUUGUCCGGAUUUACUGGGCGUAAAGAGCGCGCAGGCGGUCUUGCAAGUCGGGUGUGAAAGCCCCCGGCUCAACUGGGGAGGGUCACGCGAUACUGCUCGACUUGAAGGCAGGAGAGGGAAGUGGAAUUCCCGGUGUAGUGGUGAAAUGCGUAGAUAUCGGGAGGAACACCGGUGGCGAAGGCGGGUCUCUGGGCCGAUACUGACGCUGAGGAGCGAAAGCGUGGGGAGCGAACAGG